rnacentral:tRNA from 1 species
GGCUUUAUAGUCAAUGAUGAUAUCAGACUGCAAUUCUGGAGGCGUAGAAACCUGUUCUACUAAGGCUU